UACGAAGGGGGCUAGCGUUGCUCGGAAUCACUGGGCGUAAAGCGCACGUAGGCGGAUUGCUAAGUCAGGGGUGAAAUCCUGGAGCUCAACUCCAGAACUGCCUUUGAUACUGGCGACCUUGAGUCCGGGAGAGGUGAGUGGAACUGCGAGUGUAGAGGUGAAAUUCGUAGAUAUUCGCAAGAACACCAGUGGCGAAGGCGGCUCACUGGCCCGGUACUGACGCUGAGGUGCGAAAGCGUGGGAGCAAACAGG
rnacentral:rRNA from 1 species